rnacentral:lncRNA from 12 species
GUGGACGAGCCUCAGAAUCAGCGGAAUCAGGUAACCCUGAGAAGGAACAGACCUGGCUCCUACCGCCGUGGGUCUGCCCCUGCUCCCAGACCCGUCCAUCUGUGAUGGGCCCAUCUGUGAAAUGGGGACAGUCAUGCUCGCCGUGCUGCACUGGUGUGGGAACAACAGGUAGCCUAUGCUGAGACCUAAGGUAUAGCACGUGAUCAAGAAACGAGCCACCCCGAAGAGCACAGAUGGUGGCCUCCACGUGUCAGGGGGUCGGAGGGAACGGGUUUUGGGAGAAAAGAGGAGGAAGCCCUGGGGGUCCUGGGUGAGCGGGGGGCGCUGCUCAGGCCUGGCAGAUCUCAGAGCACCACACUCCUCGAGGCAGCACGUGGACUCCGCUGUCCCAGGACAACCCCACGCUGUCCACAGCAUCACGUGCCACCAAGAGGGGUACCUGCAGGCAUCACUCCCCUGUCUGUGAAGUGGGGCUCUCAGGAGAGGUUGGGGGACUGCUCUGUAAACCCCUUUAAUGGAGUGUGGGAUGCGGAGAGCCUCAGGGGAAGACCAGCACAGCCCUGCCAGCUGCGGUCUCCUCAUGUCCCCAGACCUGAGCAGUGCCCUACGUGGACAGGAGUCUUGGCUUGCCAUUCGGGAUUGCUGGUGGUGGAGGCGGCUUCCGGGACACCCACGGGCAACAGAGACCAGCGAUGAGGAGCUCCUCGGUGCAGACCAGUUUUGGAGCUGUGUGUGGUGGCAGCCUUCAGAUCAUGUCGUUGGCCAUGGGGUGACAGCCCUUUCCUGGUGUGAUGAGCAUUGUGAAAGGGCACCCUGGCUGGAGAUACAGCCUUAUCUCUGUGUCACCGUUUCCUGCAAAUGAUGCUCUCCAUCACCAUGCACAGUAGCCCUCGCCCCCCCCCCCCAGGCUAACCUGUGUGCCAGGACCCUGUCCAGGGCAUACACACCAAUGGGACAGCCUCCGCGCCAACCUCCACCCAGCUUUCUGGGUUUUUGCCACAACUCACCAGAGCAUCAUUGGCUACCAAAACUCUCUUCACCUGUAAGAUGGACCCAGGAGUCCUCAAGCUCUUCUCCCUCCAUGUGAAAUGCCACACACCACCAGCCGUUCACACUGAGCCCACCUGUGGUUCCAUCCAACCAUGCUGUAACAGGCAUGCUGGCGUGCCCACACACUGGGAACAGCAUUUACACACAUAGUGCGUCCCUGUGUGUCAUAAGGUAGACAGA